rnacentral:rRNA from 1 species
UACGGAGGGAGCUAGCGUUGUUCGGAAUUACUGGGCGUAAAGCGCGCGUAGGCGGCUUUGUAAGUUAGAGGUGAAAGCCCGGGGCUCAACCCCGGAAUUGCCUUUAAGACUGCAUCGCUUGAAUCCGGGAGAGGUGAGUGGAAUUCCGAGUGUAGAGGUGAAAUUCGUAGAUAUUCGGAGGAACACCAGUGGCGAAGGCGGCUCACUGGUCCGGUACUGACGCUGAGGUGCGAAAGCGUGGGGAGCAAACAGG